UAUCCUUUUUCUUCUUUCCCGAACAUUCACUUGCUCAUUUCAGUGACUACAUUUUGAUCUCUGGUUUCUCCGCUUCAUUUGUUUUUAUCACAGUGGCUUUGCAAUUAGCGUAGAUUUCUCAAUUCUCCAUCUAAUUUGUUUCUCAAUAUUCAUAGCUAAUUUGGAGAUUUUGUUGUCCACCGGUUAGCUUCUAUUAUUUGGGGGAAAUUGCAAAUGAGCUGCUGUGGUUUGCCUUAAGAUUCAUUUUUUGGCAGGGCUCUCUUCGAAUAUAUUAGACCUGACGUUCAACAUUUAUAUGCUAGGAAUUAAGUUAGGCGUUGUGUAAUUUGUAUUCAUCAUAAGUAAUGACCACAAUGUUUCGUCUUUCAGGAAUUUUAUCAUCACCAGUUAACCCGUGAGAGCACACAACUUCCAAGAAUAUUUGGGAUGCUUGCUUCCCUAAUAAAGACUAAAGGUUCUAGCAUGUCAGGUAGUUAUUAGAAAAUUUCAUGACCUCGAGGAUAUUAUGAAUUCCAAGCAUGAAUGUUCGAUUUCAAAGUCAAAUUUGACUCACAUGAGUGCUGCAAGAAGAAGAUUAUCAAAACUCUAUUCGGCUUUCUUAUUUUGUUUGAGUGAGAUGGGUGCUUGGAUGGAUUUUGAGGCAGCUGAGUUCUUGUCCCGUGAUGAAACUGACCUCUUUUCUUAGGGAGAAUUAGAUGUAUGUGCUCAAAAUAUUGUAAGAGAUUUCAGUUCAGAUUCUCUAAGAUUUUCUCGGCUCGCUUACCUUAUGGUAUCAUAGUUAGCAACAUCCAUUUUAUUUUAUCCUUGAGCUGUAAAAUUGUUUCUUGAUUUCUUUCUGCUGUUUGUGUGUCACUUUCUCUUCCCUGUACACAUAAGGCUGCAUUGGUCAAUUGGUGGUUAUAUUCAGGUUGAUGUGGAUGAUGGAUAUGUGUCAUCCAAAGUUAAUUGUCUUCUCAAGUCUCUUUUCGAGUGCAGGAAAUGAGCUUCCUCUAAAGUUUUCAAGUGGUACUUCCCAAUUGAAUGAAGGUUCUGUUGGUAUUAUAUCAAUUGCUAGAGAAGAUUGGGUUCCUUCAGCAGAUUCAUCAGUGGCAGAAGUCAAAGAUGAGAGAAUACCUAAAGUUUCAGAUGUGCCGAAGGGUCGAAGUGAUAGUGAAUCUCUACAUACAGUUGAAAACGUGCACAAGUUGAUUGGAUCCGUCAGUAUAUAGAACAACAGGAAGAGAAAAUAAAUUACCAAUGGUGAAAGAGCCGUGGCGAGGAGGCUUAGGGAAAGGCCUUCACUGGAUUUAUACACCGUAAGUUUCGAGAAUCGAUUUAAGCAGAUAUGUCCCAAAUUGAGUCCCAAGGUUCCAAUGCAGGGUCCUGAUUACUACUGUAAAUGGAUGUUCAUUCGCUGCAACUUCAAUACAUUAGUGCAAAUAUAACAGUAGCCAGUUGCGCAAAGAGAGAGCUGUACAGAAGGCCAAGGAGACUGAACUUAACAAAACUAUUCACAUAACAGAGGGAACACUGAGAGUGAAACAAAUGCUUGCAACCAUGUCUCAUGAGAUUAGAUCUUCCUUUGUCAGGAGUCGAGUUUAGCCGACAAUUUUUUUGAUAGAUAUCAAAUAGUAUUUUUUUUUUAUGAUGAUAUUGAAAUGCAUCCAUAUAUAUAUAUUUAGGGUAAAGGUCUUGUUUCAACCCCAAA